UACCAAACACCUCAGCCUCGCCAGACACCUUA
rnacentral:scRNA from 1 species